CUGUGAACCAAACUAGGGGGCGGGACUUCAGUUAGUUGGUCACGCGCAAGCUUUGCUAGCUCUGUUUCACUUAAUGGCUAACUAAACCAAAGUUAGCAAGCUAAAUAUAGAAUUUCAGUUACUUAUAUCAGUUUUGAUUUAUUUCUUCUCCUGACACAAAGAUGACACCCAGCAGUAAGGAGGUAAGACGACGAAGUAAAUUUGGCCGGAGGGGAGUGGCAAAGUUGGGGAGAAGCAGUCGAACGGAUGCCCAGCAAGCUAACACUUUAGCGGCUAACGUUAACGGAUGUUGGACCCGUCGGACAGGUGCUGCCCGCUAAUCUUCCAUGAGGAAAAGUAUGCUUGUGCCCCCACUUUAGAGACUUUUAAGAGACUGUGUGUAUACAAAUUAAAAGCGCCCAUCUGUGAUGAUAUAACGUUAACUUAGGACAAAGACCGGUUGGAAAUACUGUCAAGAUUUAUGCUACAUAUUCAUGUCCCUACGGAACAACUUAAGAUCAUUUUCACCAAACAAGGGGGAGCCUCACUUUGUCAAAGAGAUGGCCUCCCUGCCAACCACACAGAGCGACCAACUCAACAUCAAGAGCAUAAAUGAUGACUGGUGGAUAUCUAGAGCAGAUUCAGCACGGAUCUCCUUUGCAGACAUCAGAUCACCAGGGAUGAUGGGAAAGAAGUCAGAGUACGAAGCUUCCUCAUCCCUGUUGUAUACAGAGAACGUUGGAAAAAUACAACAGCCUGAUUAAAACUAGAUAUCCUGCAUAUCAUCAAAUGACACAGGCAGCUCUUGCGGAUGAUGGGCAGCGGAUGGGCUUCCGUGUUGAAGACCCAGUCCUCCAGAGGGAGAAGGUCAUCGUCAGAGAAGAGCAGAUUUCCCCAUCUCCCUCUCCUCGCCUGGCUUGCUGCUCUGUCUGCAUCGGAAUUCAGCUCUUCCAAGAUGAGGCCUAGAAAAGGAACGACGAGGAAAUGAGGACAUCACGCCAGCACUCCUACAACCGUUGUACAAUAGAGGACCUGAAGAGAAAUGGCAGACUGUGGCGUCCGUACCUCCAGAGCGCUGUAGUACAUCUUCUUUGCAUCUCCGUCCGUCUUGUCCGACAUCAGGAAAGAUUUGAUCAGAUACUCAUAGAAACUGUCCCCGAGGCCACCGAUGGAAACGUGAUCUAAGGCGGAGAGCAAGGAGGGAAACAUUCAGCAGGAUGGGAUUCGCGGAGAGCUCCGACAGGUGGACGAAUUCCAGGUGAAGGGUCCCGAACUCAGCCAGGAUGCUGCUCCCGGCUGAGGCCCAGCCCCAGCUCCAACUGGUGCCACUGCAACAGAGACAACAUCCAGACAGCUGGAGGUGAAGGCUGGUGCUGAGACUCACCUCCCUAGGUUAAUGACUCCUCGGGGGAUUCCUGUUGGCGUGUUGAAGGCGGGCAGCAGCUUCUCUCCCAGCUCCAACACUUUAUUCUUGAACACCUGGAAAGAAAAAAAAACAAGACGGCGACUUGCUGGAGUUCCCGGUAGGAUGGCGGACGGGAGGCUGGACACAAAUGGCUUUUCUAUCAGAUCUUAACCGCUGAAGACACGCAUCAGGCAUGCAGUCAUCUCUCCCACAGCAAACAUGGUCAGAGCCCAGCGAGAGAGAGCGACUCGGAGGCAACAUUUCGAGGUCUGCCACUUCUGUUUACCGCUCUGUGUGCCUGGUGGUGACUACUGAACACACGCAUCUUCAGAAAGAGGGCCUGACGAGGGAACAUGGAGCAUCACUCAAACAGAAACAGCUGGAUCUGACAUGACUGACAGGAGGAGACCUUUUCUUGAACAUUGAUUUCGUUCUUCAUUUCACAAGCUGCUGGUGCCAGCUGACUGUGAAGCAGGAGAGUCCGCAGGUCGCAGCACCUACGCUCCACAAAUAAGGUUCAACAGGUCUGAAUCUCGCUGUUGUUGCCUUUGAGAAACGCUUUACCCCGCUCUGAACAUUCAGCUACAGAUGGCGGCUGUAUUGAGCAGCAUUAGUGUUGUGUAAGAUUCAUAUUAAAUAUUCAAGGUUAGCAAAAAAGCUUGUGGUGUCUGUUGUACUAAGACUUUGCAAAGUCCACCAAUUGCUAUUUUUAAAG